GACGAACGCUGGCGGCGUGCCUAAUACAUGCAAGUCGAGCGGAACUGGGGGAGCUUGCUCCUUCCAGUUUAGCGGCGGACGGGUGAGUAACACGUGGGCAACCUGCCCUGCAGAUCGGGAUAACUCCGGGAAACCGGUGCUAAUACCGAAUAGUUUGGCGCCUCUCCUGAGGCGCUACGGAAAGACGGUUUCGGCUGUCACUGCAGGAUGGGCCCGCGGCGCAUUAGCUAGUUGGUGGGGUAACGGCCCACCAAGGCGACGAUGCGUAGCCGACCUGAGAGGGUGACCGGCCACACUGGGACUGAGACACGGCCCAGACUCCUACGGGAGGCAGCAGUAGGGAAUCUUCCGCAAUGGACGCAAGUCUGACGGAGCAACGCCGCGUGAGUGACGAAGGUUUUCGGAUCGUAAAACUCUGUUGUGAGGGAAGAACACGUACCAACUAACUAUUGGUACCUUGACGGUACCUCGCCAGAAAGCCACGGCUAACUACGUGCCAGCCGCCGCAGUAA
rnacentral:rRNA from 1 species